GAUGAACGCUGGCGGUAUGCUUAACACAUGCAAGUCGAACGGAACCUUCGGGUUUAGUGGCGGACGGGUGAGUAACGCGUGAGAAUCUGCCUCUAGGUCGGGGACAACAACUGGAAACGGUUGCUAAUACCCGAUGUGCAGCAAUGUGAAAGAUUUAUUGCCUAGAGAUGAGCUCGCGUCUGAUUAGCUAGUAGGUGUGGUAAUGGCGCACCUAGGCGACGAUCAGUAACUGGUCUGAGAGGAUGACCAGUCACACUGGGACUGAGACACGGCCCGGACUCCUACGGGAGGCAGCAGUGGGGAAUUUUCCGCAAUGGGCGAAAGCCUGACGGAGCAAUACCGCGUGAGGGACGAAGGCUUUUGGGUCGUAAACCUCUUUUCCCUGAGAAGAAGAUCUGACGGUAUCAGGGGAAUCAGCAUCGGCUAACUUCGUGCCAGCAGCCGCGGUAAUACGAGGGAUGCAAGCGUUAUCCGGAAUUAUUGGGCGUAAAGCGUCCGCAGGUGGCUCUGUAAGUCUGUCGUUAAAGAAUGGGGCUCAACCCCAUACAGGCGAUGGAAACUACAAGGCUAGAGUUUGGUAGGGGUCACGGGAAUUCUUAGUGUAGCGGUGAAAUGCGUAGAUAUUAAGAGACACCAGCGGCGAAAGCGCGUGACUGGGCAGUACUGACACUCAUGGACGACAGCUAGGGGAGCGAAAGGGAUUAGAUACCCCUGUAGUCCUAGCCGUAAACGAUGAUAACUAGGUGUUGCCCG
rnacentral:rRNA from 1 species